GGAAUGGUUUGGAAUUAUGGCUGGCCUGUGCCCCUGGGCCUCUCAUCGUGUCCUAUGCCAGAGCAAACUGUGGUUCAAAACCACUGCCUGGCCUCUGCCCAUCAGCUGCUGGUACUGAAGGGGGCUGCACAGCA
rnacentral:snoRNA from 1 species